rnacentral:tRNA from 1 species
GCGCUCGGCUACGGCUUGAAAGUUGGUAAAGCGAGCAACGCGUCUGCCCUCGUAAAGCGCUUGAGUAUCGCCGCAUCGGAAGCUUUUUAUCAUGUGCCGAUUGUAUGGAAUUUAGCGUUUAACGUCAAACGACAAACACUAAAGUUGAUUGAAUCAUACAGGUUCGAUUCCUGUCGGGCGCGCCA